CUACGGGAGGCAGCAGUGGGGAAUAUUGCACAAUGGGCGAAAGCCUGAUGCAGCGACGCCGCGUGAGCGAUGAAGUAUUUCGGUAUGUAAAGCUCUAUCAGCAGGGAAGAAUAAAUGACGGUACCUGACUAAGAAGCACCGGCUAAAUACGCGCCAGCAGCCGCGGUAAUACGUAUGGUGCAAGCGUUAUCCGGAUUUACUGGGUGUAAAGGGAGCGCAGGCGGUGCGGCAAGGCUGAUGUGAAAACCCGGGGCUCAACCCCGAGACGGCAUUGGAAACUGUCGUACUAGAGUGUUGGAGAGGAAAGUGGAAUGCCUAGUGUAGCGGUGAAAUGCGUAGAUAUUAGGAGGAACACCAGUGGCGAAGGCGGCUUACUGGACAAUUACUGACGCUGAGGCUCGAAAGCGUGGGGAGCAAACAGGAUUAGAUACCCCCGUAGUC
rnacentral:rRNA from 1 species